GAGCUCUUUUUUUGGAAUAUUAGGGGUUUUUGCGCUAGGGGGCGCAGAGAUCAAUUAAGUGAUGUGGUCAGAGGAGACAACAUUGACUUGGUAGGUUUAGUUGAAACUUUCAAAAGCUCCUUCUCUCCCGACGAGAUUUCCGUAGUUGUGGGAGCUGACAAAUUUGAUUGGAACUUUCUUCCCUCAUCUAGCCAUUCUGGUGGUAUUCUCAUCGAUUCUAAACAGGAUGUUUUUGACUUUGUGGCGUUUGACCAUGGUAUCUUUUGGGCCAGUAUAGUUGUGCACCAUCACCAGUUGAACACUCUUUGGGAGGUCAUGGUAGUCUAUGGUCCGGCGGAUCACUCCCUUUCUUCCUUAUUCCUUGACGAACUCUCCAUCAAAAUAGAAUCAUGCUCUAUUCCCCUCUUGGUUGGUGGGGACUUUAAUUUGCUUCAUUCAUCGGCAGAUAAGAACACUACCAAUUUCUCAUGGCCCCUUGCAGAUGCCUUUAAUGAUUUUAUCAGCCAAUGUGCUCUCUAA
rnacentral:rRNA from 1 species